rnacentral:rRNA from 1 species
AUGGCUUAUGGUCCAAACAGUUUACUGCCAUGGGAUGGGACUGCGGCCUAUCAGCUUGUUGGUGAGGUAAUGGCCCACCAAGGCGAUUACAGGUACGGGCUCUGAGAGGAGAAGCCCGGAGAUGGGUACUGAGACACGGACCCAGGCCCUAUGGGGCGCAGCAGGCGAGAAACCUUAGCAAUGUGCGAAAGCACGACUGGGUCAGUCCGAGUGAUUCCUGAUAAAGGAGUCUUUUGCUUGUCCUAAAAACACAGGUGAAUAAGGGGUGGGCAAGUCUGGUGUCAGCCGCCGCGGUAAUACCAGCACCUCGAGUGGUCAGGACGUUUAUUGGGCCUAAAGCAUCCGUAGCCGGCUUUGCAAGUCUUCGGUUAAAUCCACCUGCUCAACAGAUGGGCCGCUGGAGAUACUACAGAGCUAGGGAGUGGGAGAGGCAGACGGUAUUCAGUGGGUAGGGGUAAAAUCCUCUGAUCCAUUGAGGACCACCAGUGGCGAAGGCGGUCUGCCAGAACACGUUCGACGGUGAGGGAUGAAAGCUGGGGGAGCAAACCGGAUUAGAUACCCGGGUAGUCCCAGCUGUAAACGAUGCAAACUCGGUGAUGCAUUGGCUUAUGGCCAAUGCAGUGCCGCAGGGAAGCCGUUA